CCCUUCCGUACUAUGAGACUCUCUGGGUCUUAUUUGUAGUCCAUUAUGGUGACAACCACCCCUCCUUCCUCCCCUUCACGCAGGCACAGGUGCGGUUUUUUCUUCCCUUAGGUUGCCUGGAGGCAUGGCCGUAAUGGAUUCCGCAUGCGCCAGUCCUGUCACCGUUCCUGGGUUUCCGGGAGAAAUGGGCGCUCCAGAUCCUCAGGUGGUGCUUACCAUCGUCUUUAGGACGGAUGUCAGGCGCAUCGGAGGAGUCUGGUUAUACAAUCACCGUACGAGGCUGUUGCCUGACCGUCACUCCAGGGAUCGGCCUGGUCGCUGCAGCCCGUACCCGCUCCUUUGGAGGUGCCGUCCCUCUCUGUGACUGAAGCGGUUCGAUGGCUGGCUUUCGUAUACCUUCUGUGCGGUGCGGAGAGAGGAACAGAGGCUGGUGGGCGCUCUUUGGUUUUUCGAG